CACGGGAAAUGAAUUGGCUUUGUCGUCACGUAGGGAAUAUUUGCGUGGACCUUACACCUCGACGACGACGCGUACACGGUGCAUACGAAUGAAGCUGUGAUAAGCGCGCGCGAGCACGCGUGUCUAUGGGACAGAACGCGAUCGUGCUCGUUUUAUCGCUGUGGUACCACGAUUUCGGGAUAUGAAUAAAAAUGGAUGCGCGUUAAAAAAUCAGAGUUCCAGAUUAACUUUAAUUUUCAGUCCAGAUACGAUAAUUUAGAAAAAAGAAACUCCAUCACACAAAUUAAGACGCAGUGCGGUAGAAGUUGAUGUAAAUUAUUCGGAAAGAAGAAUACUGCGAUGAGAUCCCUUUGCGUCGAAGAUACAAAUGAGAUACAUUCUCUCUCGAAUCCGGAAUGACACCGCAGUGUCUAUUAAAAAGACGCAUUCAGGCCAGUUUGUCGGUACCGGAAUUAAAAUUGUUCUCAAAGACGCGCAAUGCGAAAAGGAACGCAAAC